AAUAGAUACCCCGGUAGUCCUGGCCGUAAACGAUGUCCACUAGAUCGUGGUGGCUCUGACGCCAUCAUGGUCGAAGCAAAAGUGCUAAGUGGACCGCCUGGGAAGUACGGUCGCAAGGCUAAAACUCAAAGGAAUUGACGGGGGCUCACACAAGCGGUGGAGCAUGUGGUUCAAUUCGAAGCAACGCGCAGAACCUUACCUGGGCUUGACAUGCUAGGAUUAUCCCUAUGAAAGUAGGGUAGGCCCUUCGGGGUACAACUAGUACAGGUGCUGCAUGGCUGUCGUCAGCUCGUGUCGUGAGAUGUCGGGUUAAGUCCCUUAACGAGCGAAACCUUUGCCCUUAGUUACCAUCGGGUUAUGCCGGGGACCCUAAGGGGACUGCCGGUGUCAAACCGGAGGAAGGUGGGGAUGACGUCAAGUCCUCAUGGCCUUUAUGCCCAGGGCCACACACGUGCUACAAUGGCGUUCACAAAGCGACCCUAAAGCGCGAGCUCAUGGAAAUCGCAGAAAUAACGCCCCAGUUCAGAUAGGAGGCUGCAACUCCG
rnacentral:rRNA from 1 species